rnacentral:rRNA from 1 species
UAGCUAGUUGGUGAGGUAAAGGCUUACCAAGGCGACGAUCUGUAGCGGGUCUGAGAGGAUGAUCCGCCACACUGGAACUGAGACACGGUCCAGACUCCUACGGGAGGCAGCAGUGGGGAAUUCUGGACAAUGGGGGCAACCCUGAUCCAGCCAUGCCGCGUGAGUGAAGAAGGCCUUCGGGUUGUAAAGCUCUUUCGGCCGGGAAGAAAUCGCAUGGGUCAAUACCCUGUGUGGAUGACGGUACCGGAAUAAGAAGCACCGGCUAACUACGUGCCAGCAGCCGCGGUAAUACGUAGGGUGCGAGCGUUAAUCGGAAUUACUGGGCGUAAAGCGUGCGCAGGCGGUUUUGUAAGACAGGCGUGAAAUCCCCGGGCUUAACCUGGGAACUGCGUUUGUGACUGCAAGGCUAGAGUACGGCAGAGGGGGGUGGAAUUCCACGUGUAGCAGUGAAAUGCGUAGAGAUGUGGAGGAACACCAAUGGCGAAGGCAGCCCCCUGGGUCGAUACUGACGCUCAUGCACGAAAGCGUGGGUAGCAAACAGGAUUAGAUACCCUGGUAGUCCACGCCCUAAACUAUGUCAACUAGGUGUUGGGUGGGUAAAACCAUUUAGUACCGUAGCUAACGCGAGAAGUUGACCGCCUGGGGAGUACGGCCGCAAGGUUAAAACUCAAAGGAAUUGACGGGGACCCGCACAAGCGGUGGAUGAUGUGGAUUAAUUCGAUGCAACGCGAAAAACCUUACCUACCCUUGACAUGCCAGGAACUUGCCAGAGAUGGCUCGGUGCCCGAAAGGGAGCCUGGACACAGGUGCUGCAUGGCUGUCGUCAGCUCGUGUCGUGAGAUGUUGGGUUAAGUCCCGCAACGAGCGCAACCCUUGUCGUUAAUUGCCAUCAUUUGGUUGGGCACUUUAACGAGACUGCCGGUGACAAACCGGAGGAAGGUGGGGAUGACGUCAAGUCCUCAUGGCCCUUAUGGGUAGGGCUUCACACGUCAUACAAUGGUCGGUACAAAGGGUUGCCAAGCCGCGAGGCGGAGCCAAUCCCAGAAAGCCGAUCGUAGUCCGGAUUGCAGGCUGCAACUCGCCUGCAUGAAGUCGGAAUCGCUAGUAAUCGUGGAUCAGCAUGUCACGGUGAAUACGUUCCCGGGUCUUGUACACACCGCCCGUCACACCAUGGGAGCGGGUUCCGCCAGAAGUAGGUAGCCUAACCGCAAGGGGGGCGCUUACCACGGCGGGGUUCGUGACUGGGGUGAAGUCGGAACAAGGUAGCCGUAGGGGAACCUGCGGCUG